GCUACGGGGGGCAGCAGUGGGGGAUAUUGGACAAUGGGGGAAACCCUGAUCCAGCGACGCCGCGUGAGUGAAGAAGUCUUUCGGUAUGUAAAGCUCUAUCAGCAGGGAAGAAAGAAAUGACGGUACCUGAGUAAGAAGUCCCGGCUAACUACGGGCCCGCAGCCGCGGUAAUACGUAGGGGGCAAGCGUUAACCGGAAUGACUGGGUGUAGAGGGCGCGUAGACGGUAAUGCAAGUCUGGAGAGAAAGGCGGGAGCCCACCCCCCGAACUGCUCUGGAAACUGGGUACCAGGAGUGCAGGGGAGGCAGGAGGAAUUCCUGGUGUAGCGGUGAAAGGCGUAGAUAUUAGGAGGAACACCAGUGGCGAAGGCGGCCUGCUGGACUGUAACUGACGUUGAGGCUCGAAAGCGUGGGGAGCAAACAGGAUUAGAUACCCCAGUAGUC
rnacentral:rRNA from 1 species